GAGUUUGAUCAUGGCUCAGGAUGAACGCUGGCGGCGUGCCUAACACAUGCAAGUCGAACGAAGCAAUCGGGAUGAAGUUUUCGGAUGGAUUCCUGGUUGACUGAGUGGCGGACGGGUGAGUAACGCGUGGGAUAACCUGCCUCACACUGGGGGAUAACAGUUAGAAAUGGCUGCUAAUACCGCAUAAGCGCACAGUACCGCAUGGUACGGUGUGAAAAACCCAGGUGGUGUGAGAUGGAUCCGCGUCUGAUUAGCCAGUUGGCGGGUAACGGCCCACCAAAGCGACGAUCAGUAGCCGACCUGAGAGGUGACCGGCCACAUUGGGACUGAGACACGGCCCAAAUCCUACGGGAGGCAGCAGUGGGGAAUAUUGCACAAUGGGCGAAAGCCUGAUGCAGCGACGCGCGUGAGUGAAGAAGUAUCUCGGUAUGUAAAGCUCUAUCAGCAGGGAAGAAAAUGA
rnacentral:rRNA from 1 species